UACGGAGGGUGCAAGCGUUAAUCGGAAUUACUGGGCGUAAAGCGCACGCAGGCGGUUGGUUAAGUCGGAUGUGAAAUCCCCGGGCUCAACCUGGGAAAUGCAUCUGAGACUGGCAAGCUUGAGGCCCGAAGAGGGAAGUGGAAUUCCCGGUGUAGCGGUGAAAUGCGUAGAUAUCCGGAGGAACACCAGUGGCGAAAGCGGCACCCUGGUCAAAGACUGACGCUCAGGGACGAGAGCGUGGGGAGCAAGCAGG
rnacentral:rRNA from 1 species